rnacentral:rRNA from 1 species
CGAGUCUGAAUAGGGCGAUAGUCGCUGGGAGUAGACCCGAAACCGGGCGAUCUAGCCAUGUGCAGGAUGAAGGUUGGGUAACACCAACUGGAGGUCCGAACCGGGUAAUGUUGAAAAAUUAUCGGAUGACGUGUGGCUAGGAGUGAAAGGCUAAUCAAGCCCGGAGAUAGCUGGUUCUCCCCGAAAGCUAUUUAGGUAGCGCCUCGUGAAUGAUUACUGGGGGUAGAGCACUGUUUCGGCUAGGGGGCUGUCAUGGCUUACCAAACCGAUGCAAACUCCGAAUACCGGCUAAUUGAAUCACGGGAGACACACGGCGGGUGCUAACGUCCGUCGUGGAGAGGGAAACAACCCAGACCGCCAGCUAAGGUCCCCAAGUACUAGUUAAGUGGGAAACGAUGUGGGAAGGCAUAGACAGCCAGGAGGUUGGCUUAGAAGCAGCCACCCUUUAAAGAAAGCGUAAUAGCUCACUGGUCGAGUCGGCCUGCGCGGAAGAUGUAACGGGGCUAAAACUAGUCACCGAAGCUGCGGAUGUGCGCGAAGGCGCACGUGGUAGGGGAGCGUUCUGUAGGCUGAUGAAGGUGCAUUGAGAAGUGUGCUGGAGGUAUCAGAAGUGCGAAUGCUGACAUGAGUAACGAUAAUGUGGGUGAAAAGCCCACACGCCGGAAGUCCCAGGUUUCCUGCACGACGUUAAUCGGAGCAGGGUGAGUCGGCCCCUAAGGCGAGGCUGAAGAGCGUAGUCGAUGGGAACCAGGUUAAUAUUCCUGGACUUUUUAUAAGUGGUGAAGUGGGGACGAAGAAGGCUAGGUGAGCCAGGCGUUGGUUGUCCUGGUACUUGCAUGUAGGGGGGAAGACUUGGCAAAUCCGGUUUUCCAUAACUCUGAGGUGCGAAGUGGUUCUGACCUUUUGGUACAGAGAAGUCAUUGAUGCCCGGCUUCCAGGAAAAGCUGCUAGCCAUAACUUAUAGAGAACCGUACCGCAAACCGACACAGGUGGACAGGUAGAGAAUACUAAGGCGCUUGAGAGAACUCGGGUGAAGGAACUAGGCAAAAUGGUACCGUAACUUCGGGAGAAGGUACGCCCUUUCUGGUGAUGGGAUUUACUUUCAGAGCUGGAGAGGGCCGCAGAGACCAGGUGGCUGCGACUGUUUAUUAAAAACACAGCACUCUGCAAAUUCGUAAGAAGACGUAUAGGGUGUGACGCCUGCCCGGUGCCGGAAGGUUAAUUGAUGGGGUUAUCUUCGGAGAAGCUCUUGAUCGAAGCCCCGGUAAACGGCGGCCGUAACUAUAACGGUCCUAAGGUAGCGAAAUUCCUUGUCGGGUAAGUUCCGACCUGCACGAAUGGCGUAACGAUGGCCACACUGUCUCCACCCGAGACUCAGUGAAAUUGAAAUCGCUGUGAAGAUGCAGUGUACCCGCGGCUAGACGGAAAGACCCCGUGAACCUUUACUAUAGUUUUGCACUGGACUUUGAUGAUGACUGUGUAGGAUAGGUGGGAGGCUGUGAAGUGAGGACGCUAGUUCUCAUGGAGCCGCCCUUGAAAUACCACCCUGUUGUUAUUGAGGUUCUAACUUGGUCCAGUAAUCCUGGAUGAGGACAGUGUAUGAUGGGUAGUUUGACUGGGGCGGUCUCCUCCCAAAGAGUAACGGAGGAGCACAAAGGUACCCUCGGUACGGUCGGACAUCGUACCAAGAGUGUAAAGGCAAAAGGGUGCUUGACUGCGAGAGUGACGGCUCGAGCAGGAACGAAAGUUGGUCUUAGUGAUCCGGUGGUUCUGAAUGGAAGGGCCAUCGCUCAACGGAUAAAAGGUACUCCGGGGAUAACAGGCUGAUACCGCCCAAGAGUUCAUAUCGACGGCGGUGUUUGGCACCUCGAUGUCGGCUCAUCACAUCCUGGGGCUGAAGCAGGUCCCAAGGGUAUGGCUGUUCGCCAUUUAAAGUGGUACGCGAGCUGGGUUUAGAACGUCGUGAGACAGUUCGGUCCCUAUCUGCCGUGGGCGUAGGAAAAUUGAGAGGAGCUGCUCCUAGUACGAGAGGACCGGAGUGGACGAACCUCUGGUGCACCGGUUGUCACGCCAGUGGCAUGGCCGGGUAGCUAAGUUCGGACGGGAUAACCGCUGAAAGCAUCUAAGCGGGAAGCCUCCCUCAAGAUGAGUUUUCCCAUGAAGCCCGUUGAAGACUACGACGUUGAUAGGCAAGGUGUGGAAGCGCAGUAAUGCGUGAAGCUAACUUGUACUAAUUGGCUGAUUGUCUUGACCAUAUAAUCUGAG